rnacentral:rRNA from 1 species
UACGAAGGGGGCUAGCGUUGCUCGGAAUUACUGGGCGUAAAGCGCACGUAGGCGGCUUGUUAAGUCAGACGUGAAAUCCCUCGGCUUAACCGGGGAACUGCGUCUGAUACUGGAUGGCUUGAGUUCGGGAGAGGGAUGCGGAAUUCCAGGUGUAGCGGUGAAAUGCGUAGAUAUCUGGAGGAACACCGGUGGCGAAGGCGGCAUCCUGGACCGAUACUGACGCUGAGGAGCGAAAGCCAGGGGAGCAAACGGG